rnacentral:rRNA from 1 species
UACGUAGGGCGCGAGCGUUGUCCGGAAUUAUUGGGCGUAAAGAGCUCGUAGGCGGCCUGUUGCGUCCGCUGUGAAAACCCAGGGCUCAACCCUGGGCCUGCAUUCGAUACGGGCAGGCUAGAGUUCGGUAGGGGAGACUGGAAUUCCUGGUGUAGCGGUGAAAUGCGCAGAUAUCAGGAGGAACACCGGUGGCGAAGGCGGGUCUCUGGGCCGAAACUGACGCUGAGGAGCGAAAGCGUGGGGAGCAAACAGG